CUAAUAUGUGUGCGAGUCAAUAGGCCAGUAAAAACCUGUAAGGCACAAGGAAGUUGAUCGGCAGGAUCCUCGGGUGCACCAUCAACCAACCUUAAUCUUAUAAGACAGGUUCGAGUGAGAGCAUGUCUAUCAAAACCUAAAAGAUGGUGAAGUAUGCCUAAGCAGGGCGAAACUAGAGGAAACUCCGAUGGAGGCUUGUAGCGAUACUAACAUGCAAAUUGUUAAUUCAACUUAAGGAAACAAAUAGAACAAUAGAUUUUUAG
rnacentral:ncRNA from 1 species